AUAGGCUCCUCGCUGAGCAGAGAGCCCGAUGCGUGGCUUGAUUCCAGGACCCUGAGAUCAUGAUCUGAGCCACCCAGGCGCCCCUAGAAACGGGAACUUCAAUAAAGACUCUUGUGUCUGUGAGUAUCUGCCCAAGUCAGCGUUUUCCAGGCACUGUGGUCAAAAGGGAUUGGAUUCAAUGAACAGGAUCCUUCUGGUUCCACAGCCAGAUGGGGUCUGUCUGCCCAUUGCCCAAUUCCUAGGCAUCUUGACUGCUUCCAAACUUUGGCACUUAUGAAUAUAGCUACUACAAACAGGCUUGGGCAGGUUUCUCAAUGUCCCAGGACCUCAGUUUUCAAAUCAACUAAUUUGUGUAAAUGCCAAGGAGCAACAUUGCUGGACCAUAGGUUUGUGUUCCAGCCAUCUUAAAUAUCAGGAUGUUUCUCAGCUACAUUCCAUGUUCUCUUCUCUUUGGGCAUAGAUGAACACAGUUCCCU